rnacentral:tRNA from 2 species
GCCCAGAUGGCGGAAUUGGUAGACGCGCUAGACUCAAAAUCUGGUUUUCGCAAGGAAGUGCAGGUUCGAUUCCUGUUCUGGGCA